rnacentral:lncRNA from 1 species
AUGGUUGAAGCAAAACUGCUUGCUUGUUGUAUCAAAAAUUGCUUGUUGAUCCCAUCGAAGAAAAAAUCCAUUGUCGCCAUGGACAAACACCGCCAUGGAUGGAUGUAGCAGAAUUUGUCUUCGGUUCCAACAAAAUCAUAGCAUGAUUGUAGCAAAAAAAUCAACUAGGAAAAUAGGUGAUGUUAUGUAGAUGGAUGUAGCACAAAUCCACAAAACACGGGUAGUAACAAAAAAAACGUUUGUAACAAAAUUGUUUGUUGGUUCCAACAAAAAUCAACAUGAUAGCAAAUUUUGGGUGGAUGGGUGGUAGCAAAAGCAUGGGUUGGUUCCAGCAAAAAAAGCAUAGUUGUAGCAAAAACAUCGGUACCAAAAGCAUUUGUCAUACAUACUUUUUGACCAUCUCUGCUUCUACAAGCUCUAGGUGCUUUUCAUUCAACCACGACCCAACAAACAGGGGCUAAGAAUUUAACCAUCUACAACUUUGUAAGAUGUUCAUAACUUUCAUAGCUAUGCAUCAAUUUCAUGGUAUUGUAUUCUAAUCCCUCACAUGUUAUGGUUAUUCAUUAUUGGUGGAUGUUGUUCAACUUUCUAGCGCACACAGUAACUUGUACCAUCCAUUUAUAACCUGUUAAACCUAAUAUAAUUACAACUUAUUGUCUUUGUGUUUGUGUAGGUACCUCACCAGCUAGUUGAGCUUCUCUAUCCAAAACGAAUGUCUAAACUAUCGUUGCUUUUGUUGGGUUCUUCUCGGGUUCAAAGGUAAAUUAUUUAUUUUUCAAGUUGCCACGUUUGCAUCUUAUGAACUUGGACUUCUUGGAGAGUGGUCCCUUGUCCCGACCACAUUCACUGGGUGACCAUGGAUCUUCUCUCAAAGGACCCUCGACUCCUGCGAUUUGCGGGAUUGUCUGGCUUCUCUUAUUUAUGCACGAGCGCGUUGUCAAGUUUCUCGGCCCCUUCUGUUCAUCAACAGAGUGGGCACUUCUUUAUCCAUAGCUAAAGAGCAGACGGUCCUUUCAGACAAUAAGUGAGUGGGGAACUGGAGGCAAGUUACGAUGGUGUCAACCCAGGGGACAUUCUUCUUCUUGGGCUCAGUUUCAAGGUGGCUUUUUGGUUGUGAUCCGACCAUUUAUGUGUUCUUAUUUGUGGAGAAGUUGGCCACGGCCAAUGGUUCGCCCCUGAUGCUAUUUUGGCGGCGUUCGUCUCAUGCAGUCUUUUCACAUUUUAGUUCUAAUGUUGUGUUUGUAUGCAAAAUUCCAAGUCCAUAUGUUAUUUCAUUAGAGAAAGACAAGAGAGAAAAAUCAAGCGCGUGAUACAUAUGACUACUCUAGAAUCUUCAAUUUUUGUUGAGGACUCUCCAUUGAGGAUAUAUGAUUGUAAGCUAUGCGGAUGGCAUUGAAGACACUUAGGAUCACCUACUAUCAUAUGUAGACAACAAGAAUAUGCAUUUACAAUGGGAUUUCUAAGCCAUGUAUGAUAGGGUUAUAGGUGGUAGUGUAAGACGCGUCCUAAGAAAGAUCCAUCCACCACUAUUCUCGAUGUCUCCUUUUCCCGUGAGUUCUCAUAUCUUCCAUGCAUGUUUUGUCAUUCCUCUCUUUUAGCUAUUUAUAUGACUGUCACCUAUUUGAUGAAAAAUAAGUAAACACUACCAACAUGCCAAACAUAUUGAGACGAUGGAGCUAUUCAGUUUCAUACAAAGUGGUAUAUAUAAGAUGAGGACAAUUUCAUGCAAGUAAAGUUUAGUGUACCAUGGAUAAUGAAGCAUUGUAUACACACGUGGAGGUUGGUGGUAUAGUACUAUUUGCCUAAUAGUCCCCAAAUACGUGUCACGAGGUGGACGGCUCCCCGUGCGUCUUACCGUUGUUCUUGGGUGAGCAAAUGUCCCGCUAAUCUAGCACCAUUCCCUCCUUGUGCCACAUACAACAACCAUCACAAGUACUAUGCCUCAUGAGGUGGUCGACUAGGUCGCUCUCCUCCUUCGAGCAUGCGCUUCAUUCACACAUGCUUAUGAGGAUUCUGGGAGAGGAGUGCAACUUUGUUUAGCUAAGAUCAUGAUGGUUAGGCGUGAAGUACUGAUCGGCACAACUAACGACUGAUGAAGAUUAGCACACGACAUCAAGUUCAGGGUGAAAACACUAUUCAUGCCUUUAUUAGUUGAACUAAGUAGAGAUAAACUUAUGUCGUUGCCUUGUUAAAGGUGUUGUCUCCAUGAUGAUGAGAUGGUCCUGGUUGGUUGAUCUCGGCAAUCAAGAUCAAAAUCCUUGUCAUGGUCUUCUCUUAAACUAUGGGUGGCAAUGGCGACGCGAACAUGUUAUCCCGUCCUAAAGGCAUUUCGACUGAGGAAUAAGACUUACUCAGAGGUGCUUACUUAAUCUCUUUUAAUGAUUUUGUAGUUGUUGUACAUGUCAUGUACUAUCCAUGUUCAUGACUUCAGCAUUGUACCCUUGCAUCAACUUUAAUAAUGUUAUGGAUGUGUGCACCUAAGGAUGCCGCGGCUGGGAGGUCAACCAUUCCUUUUUGAAUAAAAAAAAUAUUUGCCUUAUAGCUAUUCCACACAUUGAGUUCAUGUUCUCUGCAACAUACAAAAUAUCGUUAACCUUAACCACAUGCUUGAAAAUUAAAGAACUAUAUCAUGUCAAUAAAAAAAUAGCAACCCCAAAAUCAUACCCAAAAUUUAUUUUGCCAAGUUUGUACUAAAGUGUGCCACUCAUGAGAUGGAGUCGAAAUGACAUGAGGUUAUGAUUGAAUGAUUUAAGAGCAUCUCCAACCGGACCCCUCAAAUUUUCCCUAUAUGUGUGGUCUGACAACCCGAAUAGUGCCCAGGCGAAGAAAAAGAACACUCAACUUGGCUUCCCACCUCGUCACAUAUGUCUGGAUUACCCGCAAUCCCCAAACUCAUCCGAUAUAAAUGGAGGAAAUUUUGGGUUAGUGUAACGAACGAGAGUUUGUCGACCAGAGUGGGGGUGAAUGGGAGAUUCAAAAUUCCUUUUGAAUCUUUGAAUGGACCCUUAACACAGCAGUAGAGAUGAAAAAGCGAGUAGAUCACUAAAGAAGAACUUAAGCUAAACACUAGCAAAGGUGAACUCAAAUGGGUACUAAGCAAAGUUCUUGAUUGAGAAUAACCUUCGUGUAGUAGCUGAUGGAAUUAACAUAUCUUGAUAGGAGGCACGAAACUAAUGAAGAAGCACGAUAAUGAAUAAAAGAUAAGAGCUGCCUUGCAGCGUGCCGCAACAGCGAUAUUGGAUGCAUCGACGGUGAUAUCGGAUGCUCCGAUACAACAGGUGGUGGUGAUGGAUGCUACAAUGCGCACACAACAGCGAUGGCGGAAGCUACGGUGCAGCAGGCGGCAACAAUGCAUGCUGCAACGCAGCAAUGGGCCGACGACAAAGUGCAACAUCGCAUCAAGUGCGCGAUAGCGGCCUGGGAGGGAAACAGCGUGCUCCGUCCCUCGUAGCGUCGGUGGCUGGGAUUAGAAGCGGAUCUGCUCCAUAUCUCGUAUCGCCGGGAUAUGGUUGAGAGAGAAAGAGGAAGUGGUGUGUGACAUAGAGAGGACAUGUGGUGCAAGAUAGACGUGGCUUACGUUUCAUUGUCUUCAGGCAUUGUU